rnacentral:ncRNA from 1 species
GUGUUGUAUAAAAGGAGACAAGGUUAACACUCCCCUUGACAACAAUGGAAGAGGCCCUUGGGCCUGACAACAUGCAUAUGGUUAAGCAUUUCCACCUACUUAGUGGCAUCUAACCAUUGUUUUUU